CAUAUGUACUCUUGAUACUAAUACCAAGAGUCUAUAACGCGGGUUAUGGACUCUUGAUAAUACUAGUACUAGUGGUGGCAUUAGUGGCGAUGCUAGUCUGCUACAUACAUACAUGUACAUCUAGAUCUACGUGUACGGGUUGCGCCUCGCCGCGCCGGCGCAACAGCAGCUGCGUGAUCGUCAUGGUUACCGGUUUCGCGCCUUCCUGGCCGGCUACACUCUCUACUCGUCUCAGGACAGUAGAAUCGAACUCCUUAGCAGCAGCUGCUGCGCAUACUCCUCAUCGGAAGAGUUUGCACGAGCAGUUUUUCGGUCUUGGUCAGAGAAGGUGGAAGCACUUUAUUCUGCUUCCGUUUGUAGACGGUCAGUUUUGUCCUAAACCCUUUUUCCUGUCCAGGCAAUGUGCUCAGUCCGUUCUUGACGAGUCCCUACGGCGAAGUGACAAAAGAUUCCAAGUUAUAGUGAGUUUCCAGACCGCGUAGGGCAAAUCGAAACAAAGAGUUUAUUCUUGAAUCUCCAGAGAACCCCUUGUCUGCUUACCGCCAGUAGUUCUUUGUUGCCCCUGCCCAUGACGGGUAGUGAUGAGUAGAUCCAGUAAAUGUUUUCAAGCAGUUGAUCCGAGGAGCUCCAAGUUGCGAUAAAGACGGACUUGAUUGCAAUACUCGAUACCAUCAUGUGAACUUUCGUCCUUUUCAGCAGUAGCUUGUGUAGCCAUUUUGGCAGUAUGUUGCGCAAGAAAGCAGUAAUCGCCGGCUAUUUCUCCGUGACUUCAGCCAGGUGUCGGACACGGAAACUGCACACAUCGCGAGGUUCGAUGGCCGGUGGUUUGAGCAACAUGUUCUCCGCGUUACACUUCGCAGAGCAGAGCUGAUUGCCGAGCCAAAAGUAAGUUUUGGCAAGGUGCUGAGAAGGACCAUCAGAUGGCGACAAGAAGCGGGGAAUCGUCUGCAACGACAUCCAUCAGCGCUGCUCAGCGUGUGCUCUGGGAAUGGCCGUUCUGGGAAGACGCAUCAGCUUCGAUGGCCGGUGAUUUGAGCAACAUGUUCUCCGCGUUACACUUCGCAGAGCAGAGCUGAUUGCCGAGCCAGAAGUAAGUUUUGGCAAGGUGCUGAGAAGGACCAUCAGAUAGCGACAGGAAGCGGAGAAUCGUCUGCAACGACAUCAAUCAGCGCUGCUCAGCGUCAGCUCUGGGAAUGGCCGUUCCGGGUCGUCGCCGUUCGAAGACGCAGCAGCUUCGAUGGCCGGUGAUUUGAGCAACAUGUUAUCCGCUUUACACUUCGCAGAGCAGAGCUGAUUGCCGAGCCAGAAGUAAGUUUUGGCAAGGUGCUGAGAAGGACCAUCAGAUAGCGACAGGAAGCGGGGAAUCGUCUGCAACGACAUCCAUCAGCGCUGCUCAACGUCAGCUCUGGGAAUGGCCGU